rnacentral:rRNA from 1 species
GGCUGAAACUCGCCUCUUUGAAGUCGGAAUCGCUAGUAAUCGCAGAUCAGCAUGUUGCGGUGAAUACGUUUCCUGGUCUUGUACACACCGCCCGUCAAACCAUGAGAGUCGCCAACACCCGAAGUCCGCUUUGCGGCCUAAGGUGGGGGAGAUGAUUGGGGUUAAGUCGUAACAAGGUACC